rnacentral:lncRNA from 1 species
AUAGGAAAAAGGUUAGGAAAAAUCGAGGGAAAGGUUGGGAGAGAAAAUAGAGUAAGAAAAGAGUUGGAAACAUAGCCUAUAUAUGGAGAAGCAACGUUUAUAUACAUAGAGAAUACACAUGAAAUAGGAUUUUGAGGGUUGGCUCUUUGAGUUUUCUAUCUCGUUUACUGUCUAUGAGAGUCCGUCGGAGCCUCUCUUGUGGUCUUGGAAAGUACUCCUCUAGCUCGUCGUCUUGAUUCGGUGCCUCGAAAAAGGUAUACUUCUUCACUUUCUUUAUUAGUUCUCUUGCGUGUUUUAGCUUCAACCUACUGUUUAGAGUAGCCAAUUUUGCCUAAUGUUUCUUUGUUUUAUUUAAAUUUCAACUUUCCAAUCUUAGUAUAAUUGAGUUUUUAUUUUGAUGAUCAUAAGCUUUUCCUUUGCGCGCUUUGACCUGAAUGUGAUUUGGAUAUAUGUAUGUGAAGUGUUGAGAUGUUGUUUGGUUUAGCUUUUCAUUAGUGUGAUAAGAAUGUGACCAUAGCUUGGGUUGUCCGCCUUUGUGUUCUUUUUAUUGUGAUGGAUCCUUGUUAAUGAUAGUUCAAACUUGCUUAAUAUGUGUAUCUAAUCUUUGUUCCCAUUUAGUCUGAAUGAUAUCCAUGUCUAUUUUUGUUUUAACUCGUGAGAUUAUGAUCAUAUCUUAUCAUAAGUUUGUCGAUAACUUGAUUUAUACCCUUGUUGCAAGGCUUUCUUAUUCCUUUUUGGACCUCUGCCUAUGUAUGAGUGAGUCGAAAAAAGAUGUGGUUCAUAUCUUAAAUUAGUUUAGUAUUGUAUCUAUUAAGAUUAGUCAAACCCAUUGUUUUACACACUCUUUUUUACUAGCCUCUUAUUCAUGUCGGAAUUAGAGAUUCUUUUAAUUGGUAAUUAGGAUAUAGUCUCGCAAGAUCGGACUAACGAAGCUAGCCUAGAAUAACUUGGCUUGCUCUUGUUAGUAUUGUACUUGAUUCAUGUAAAAGUUUUCUGAAUGAAGUUUUUUUUUAGGUAUUAGCUUCACUUCUUUAGAGCAUUCGUGUGAAUUCAUACUAUUGCGAGAUUUUUCUUACCAACCAAUGCAUAAAUGUUUUCUUGCUGCUUUUAUUUUAACUUUGGAUGGGUCGGUUACUUUCUCAUAUUCUAGUGUUAAUCUUGGACUCAAUAGCAGUGAUCAGUGUUGUUUUCUUUUUUUUUAAUCUUGUCUUUACCAUUAAUAAAUUCUUCACUCAUCUAAUAUUUUAAUUAUAUUUGAAUGUGGCUUUUUUUUUUGCGUCAAAUUUGAAUGAUCUACUUAGCUUGUCUAAUACUUAGUUCAAAAUUGUAGUCUGUAUAUGCCUCUCAUUCAAAAUGUUAGAAUUUAUUUUCAAAUAGUCAUGUUGAUUCAUUCUUUGUUUAUUCUUCCUCAAGUUUAUUAUCAAGUUGGUAUAAUUAGUUUUCUGUCAGUGAACCCUUUGUCUUAUUUGAGUUAGAAUGCCUUAAUUAUAGGGAAGUAUGAAUUUGGCAAGUAGUUGGAUCCUCUCCAUUGUUUAAAAUUUGUGCAAAACCCUUGUUAUAUCCUUCAUUUUAUUCCAAGUGAUCUGGAUAACUACUGAUUUUUUUUCUCUUCUUUGAAUACAUGUGACAUUGAUUCGAGUCUAUUUGGACUCCACCCUUGCAUAUCAUUGAGUCGUUUCGAGUCGACCUUCAUCUUUGUUCGAGUUUCGGAAGCUGAUAUACAGGUCUCGAAGCGGAAAGAAGGGGCUAUAUAUGUGCCUUAGACAGUUGUAUACGUAAGACAUACGGUGAUAUACACUCACUGUAUAACUAUAAAUGCAAAGAAAUGAGCGAGAAGCCCUCUUUAAAUUUUCAGCUUUGUUUUAUGUUGUAAUUGGGCCUAAGCCCUUUUAUUUUAGAUCAUAUGAUUGUCUAUUAGUUAUUAGGACAGGUACAAAGAGGAAAAUAUUGGGCCAAAGCCCAAAGAAGGGAAUUACCCUUUUGUUAGUCUAGGACAGGUACAAAUGGGUCAAAGGCCCCAACGCUGAAAUUAGGGCCAAGUUACUGUCCCAGGCGGACAGAUCCAGACUUGGGCUCAAAUCUUCUCCUCCCUUUACUCAUUUAUUUGUUAUUAUGUGUUUUAUGUGUUUAUUUAAUUUUAGAGGUUUCCUAAUCAAUGUGCCCAAAAGAAAAGCCAUUUUGAGUUAAAAUUAAAUCAAUACUUGUCUUCAAUUUGACCUUUAGAGUAUUUAUUGUAUUUUACUUAAGUAAAUCCCUUACAAUAUUUCCCCUCCCC